CGCGGGGUGGAGCAGUCUGGUAGCUCGUUGGGCUCAUAACCCAAAGGUCGUAGGUUCAAAUCCUGCCCCCGCUACCA
rnacentral:tRNA from 3 species